rnacentral:rRNA from 1 species
AACGAACGCUGGCGGCAGGCUUAACACAUGCAAGUCGAACGCAUCCUUCGGGGUGAGUGGCAGACGGGUGAGUAACGCGUGGGAACGUGCCCUUCAGUUCGGGAUAACCCAGGGAAACUUGGGCUAAUACCGGUUACGUGCGAGGGCAGAAAGAUUUAUCGCUGAAGGAUCGGCCCGCGUCUGAUUAGCUAGUUGGUGGGGUAAUGGCCCACCAAGGCGACGAUCAGUAGCUGGUCUGAGAGGAUGAUCAGCCACAUUGGGACUGAGACACGGCCCAAACUCCUACGGGAGGCAGCAGUGGGGAAUAUUGGACAAUGGGCGCAAGCCUGAUCCAGCCAUGCCGCGUGAGUGAUGAAGGCCUUAGGGUUGUAAAGCUCUUUCGUCCGGGACGAUAAUGACGGUACCGGAAGAAGAAGCCCCGGCUAACUUCGUGCCAGCCGCCGCAGUAACAC